AGGGGCUGCGAGUGGCUAUGACACAAGCCAAGACAGCGAGCGGGAUCCAUCCCGCUCGCUUUCUUGGCUUGUGCCAUAGCUGCGCGCAACCCCU